rnacentral:rRNA from 1 species
UAGGGAAUAUUGGACAAUGGGCGCAAGCCUGAUCCAGCCAUGCCGCGUGAGUGAAGAAGGCCCUCGGGUUGUAAAGCUCUUUUGUCCGGAAAGAAAAGCAUCGGGCUAAUACCCUGGUGUUCUGACGGUACCGGAAGAAUAAGCACCGGCUAACUUCGUGCCAGCAGCCGCGGUAAUACGAAGGGUGCAAGCGUUACUCGGAAUUACUGGGCGUAAAGCGUGCGUAGGUGGUUUGUUAAGUCUGAUGUGAAAGCCCUGGGCUCAACCUGGGAAUGGCAUUGGAAACUGGCGGACUCGAGUGCGGUAGAGGGGUGUGGAAUUCCCGGUGUAGCAGUGAAAUGCGUAGAGAUCGGGAGGAACACCAGUGGCGAAGGCGACACCCUGGACCAGCACUGACACUGAGGCACGAAAGCGUGGGGAGCAAACAGGAUUAGAUACCCUGGUAGUCCACGCCCUAAACGAUGCGAACUGGAUGUUGGGUGCAACUUGGCACUCAGUAUCGAAGCUAACGCGUUAAGUUCGCCGCCUGGGGAGUACGGUCGCAAGACUGAAACUCAAAGGAAUUGACGGGGUCAUA